rnacentral:rRNA from 1 species
UACGGGGGGGGCAAGCGUUGUUCGGAAUUACUGGGCGUAAAGGGCGCGUAGGCGGCCUUCUAAGUCGGACGUGAAAUCCCUCGGCUUAACCGAGGAACUGCGUCCGAUACUGAAAGGCUUGAAUCCGGGAGAGGGAUGUGGAAUUCCAGGUGUAGCGGUGAAAUGCGUAGAUAUCGGCAGGAACACCCAGGGGGAAACCAGUGGACUGGGCAGGAGCUGACGCUCAGGUGCGAAAGCGUGGGGAGCGAACCGG